rnacentral:lncRNA from 1 species
GUAGGCCUAAAGUAGUGGCCCAGAGGACAGAGAAGGUAGGCCUAAAGUAGUGGCCCAGGGAGAAGGUAGGCCUAAAGUAGUGGCCCAGGGAGAAGGUAGGCCUAAAGUAGUGGCCCAGAGGACCUAGAAGGUAGGCCUAAAGUAGUGGCCCAGGGAGAAGGUAGGCCUAAAGUAGUGGCCCAGAGGGCAGAGAAGGUAGGCCUAAAGUAGUGGCCCAGGGAGAAGGUAGGCCUAAAGUAGUGGCCCAGAGGGCAGUAGUGGCCCAGAGGGCAGAGAAGGUAGGCCUAAAGUAGUGGCCCAGGGGGCAGAGAAGGUAGGCCUAAAGUAGUGGCCCAGGGAGAGGACAGAGAAGGUAGGCCUAAAGUAGUGGCCCAGAGGAGAGAGAAGGUAGGCCUAAAGUAGUGGCCCAGAGGGCAGAGAAGGUAGGCCUAAAGUAGUGGCCCAGAGGGUAGAGAAGGUAGGCCUAAAGUAGUGGCCCAGAGGGCAGAGAAGGUAGGUCUAAAGUAGUGGCCCAG